rnacentral:rRNA from 1 species
UGGGGAAUAUUGCGCAAUGGGCGAAAGCCUGACGCAGCAACGCCGCGUGAGGGAUGAAGGCCUUCGGGUUGUAAACCUCUUUCAGCAGGGAUGAAGCGAAAGUGACAGUACCUGCAGAAGAAGCGCCGGCUAACUACGUGCCAGCAGCCGCGGUAAUACGUAGGGCGCAAGCGUUGUCCGGAUUUAUUGGGCGUAAAGAGCUCGUAGGCGGUCUGUCACGUCGGAUGUGAAAACCCGGAGCUCAACUCCGGGCCUGCAUUCGAUACGGGCAGACUUGAGUACUGCAGGGGAGACUGGAAUUCCUGGUGUAGCGGUGGAAUGCGCAGAUAUCAGGAGGAACACCGGUGGCGAAGGCGGGUCUCUGGGCAGAAACUGACGCUGAGGAGCGAAAGCGUGGGGAGCGAACA